UCAAACCGGGAGAUAGCUGGUUCUCCCCGAAAGCUAUUUAGGUAGCGCCUCGUGAAUUCAUCUCCGGGGGUAGAGCACUGUUUCGGCAAGGGGGUCAUCCCGACUUACCAACCCGAUGCAAACUGCGAAUACCGGAGAAUGUUAUCACGGGAGACACACGGCGGGUGCUAACGUCCGUCGUGAAGAGGGAAACAACCCAGACCGCCAGCUAAGGUCCCAAAGUCAUGGUUAAGUGGGAAACGAUGUGGGAAGGCCCAGACAGCCAGGAUGUUGGCUUAGAAGCAGCCAUCAUUUAAAGAAAGCGUAAUAGCUCACUGGUCGAGUCGGCCUGCGCGGAAGAUGUAACGGGGCUAAACCAUGCACCGAAGCUGCGGCAGCGACGCUUAUGCGUUGUUGGGUAGGGGAGCGUUCUGUAAGCCUGUGAAGGUGUGCUGUGAGGCAUGCUGGAGGUAUCAGAAGUGCGAAUGCUGACAUAAGUAACGAUAAAGCGGGUGAAAAGCCCGCUCGCCGGAAGACCAAGGGUUCCUGUCCAACGUUAAUCGGGGCAGGGUGAGUCGACCCCUAAGGCGAGGCCGAAAGGCGUAGUCGAUGGGAAACAGGUUAAUAUUCCUGUACUUGGUGUUACUGCGAAGGGGGGACGGAGAAGGCUAUGUUGGCCGGGCGACGGUUGUCCCGGUUUAAGCGUGUAGGCUGGUUUUCCAGGCAAAUCCGGAAAAUCAAGGCUGAGGCGUGAUGACGAGGCACUACGGUGCUGAAGCAACAAAUGCCCUGCUUCCAGGAAAAGCCUCUAAGCAUCAGGUAACAUCAAAUCGUACCCCAAACCGACACAGGUGGUCAGGUAGAGAAUACCAAGGCGCUUGAGAGAACUCGGGUGAAGGAACUAGGCAAAAUGGUGCCGUAACUUCGGGAGAAGGCACGCUGAUAUGUAGGUGAAGUCCCUCGCGGAUGGAGCUGAAAUCAGUCGAAGAUACCAGCUGGCUGCAACUGUUUAUUAAAAACACAGCACUGUGCAAACACGAAAGUGGACGUAUACGGUGUGACGCCUGCCCGGUGCCGGAAGGUUAAUUGAUGGGGUCAGCGCAAGCGAAGCUCUUGAUCGAAGCCCCGGUAAACGGCGGCCGUAACUAUAACGGUCCUAAGGUAGCGAAAUUCCUUGUCGGGUAAGUUCCGACCUGCACGAAUGGCGUAAUGAUGGCCAGGCUGUCUCCACCCGAGACUCAGUGAAAUUGAACUCGCUGUGAAGAUGCAGUGUACCCGCGGCAAGACGGAAAGACCCCGUGAACCUUUACUAUAGCUUGACACUGAACAUUGAGCCUUGAUGUGUAGGAUAGGUGGGAGGCUUAGAAGUGUGGACGCCAGUCUGCAUGGAGCCGACCUUGAAAUACCACCCUUUAAUGUUUGAUGUUCUAACGUUGACCCGUAAUCCGGGUUGCGGACAGUGUCUGGUGGGUAGUUUGACUGGGGCGGUCUCCUCCUAAAGAGUAACGGAGGAGCACGAAGGUUGGCUAAUCCUGGUCGGACAUCAGGAGGUUAGUGCAAUGGCAUAAGCCAGCUUGACUGCGAGCGUGACGGCGCGAGCAGGUGCGAAAGCAGGUCAUAGUGAUCCGGUGGUUCUGAAUGGAAGGGCCAUCGCUCAACGGAUAAAAGGUACUCCGGGGAUAACAGGCUGAUACCGCCCAAGAGUUCAUAUCGACGGCGGUGUUUGGCACCUCGAUGUCGGCUCAUCACAUCCUGGGGCUGAAGUAGGUCCCAAGGGUAUGGCUGUUCGCCAUUUAAAGUGGUACGCGAGCUGGGUUUAGAACGUCGUGAGACAGUUCGGUCCCUAUCUGCCGUGGGCGCUGGAGAACUGAGGGGGGCUGCUCCUAGUACGAGAGGACCGGAGUGGACGCAUCACUGGUGUUCGGGUUGUCAUGCCAAUGGCACUGCCCGGUAGCUAAAUGCGGAAGAGAUAAGUGCUGAAAGCAUCUAAGCACGAAACUUGCC
rnacentral:rRNA from 1 species